rnacentral:tRNA from 1 species
GCGUUGGUGGUUCCAUGGUAGAAUUCUCACCUUCCAUGCAAGAGACCAGGGUUCGAUUCCCAGCCAGUGCA